AUAACCACCAGGCAGUUCUGAGUCUGUGCUGCAGCCCUGGGGGCUCAGAGCCUGGGCAGUGCAUGUCCCUUGCCCAUGUUCUGCAGCAGGGAAGGCUUCCAGUGGGAGCCCUGCUGUGAGUGUGGUGUCUGGGCCCAUGUGGGUGUGGAAAACUGCAGUCUCUCUUCUCACCUUAAAACUUUAUGUAUUUGAAAUACUCCACACAUCUGUGUGAGUGAUGCCUGCUGUUGGUGCAGGGCAGGCAGUGGGCAGUGCUACACCUGGCAGUGGCUCUGCUGCUUUCCGGGCAUCUCCCCCUGCUCCUCAUCUCCCUUUGUGUGCUCCAUGAUGGUUCAGACUCCUUUUUCUCAGUACUGCUGGAAAGAAAUCUGGACAGGAGUGGGCAUUUCAGCAGUGCUGUUGGUUUGUCAGUGUGUCUGCACGGACCUGGAAUAAAGCGCAGCUCCCUAUUAGAGACCAACUCAGGAUGGUUGGAAAAUGUGAAGAAAUCAAUAUCCAACUGCAUCGCCAAACAAGCAGCAGUCCUGGAACAAAGAGGCCGGGGGAGGCUGGCGGUGUGAGCGCAGAACUUGAAGCUGAGCAGAAUUUUAUUUGCAAAGAAUGCGAGAUGAGGAGGUGCAGAACAGUCAUCCCAUUCCUCAGUUUGCUGCCUCGAAUGUUACCCAUGCUGAAUCUCAUUUGGUCUCUCAGCACUGCUUCUUCAUGUUGUUUUCAAAGCUCUAACUAUCUCCUUGGAGGUGCGGGUAUUAAUUGAUUUCCGAAAUCAGAAAGUUACAGAAAACACAAAGUAGACCGCGGUGCAUUAACGAAGCGUGUUUCACUUCUGAUCGCAGGAGUGAUCCAAGGGCACACGAUGGGAGGGGGGGCUGUAAUCUGCAGUGAUCUGUUCUGGAAAUACGUAAUCAAGAAUGACAACAGGAAACAAAUGAGCGUGGCACUUAAUGGCGGGGCAGGAGCGGUGCUGAUUAGCAUACAUAUACCGCCUGACUUCCAAGUAUCGGGAGUGCAGGCUGUGGAAAUUACAUCAUUUAUUUCUGUGACAGUAACAGAUAUAAAAAUUAUACCAUAAAUAAAGCGGAAUCAACAU
ensembl:lncRNA